UCUUGAAUGGUUUUUGUAGAUUUAAUCUAGUAUAAAACACAGUGCAAGUAAUUCUAUUGCAUAGUUUUGAUAAGACUGUAAGCAGUACAUCAUGCCAUCCCCCUGUGAGCCCUGCAAAGAAACCUGCCAAGAAGGUGCCUGUGAAGACAAGUGCGCUUGCAAGGAAAAGGGCUGUGACGACUGUUCUGCUUCUGGUGGUUGCUGCUAAUCAAGAUGGACAGAGCUGAUGCAGGUCAGCGCGGCUCCAGAGCCACCAAGAUCCUGGAAGCUUUCUUCCCAAUUUCUUUUUCUGUUGUAUUCUUGAUUACUAUUGUUCUGUUUUACUGUUUAAUAUAGUUUUGUUAAACUUA